AGCCGGUGAUGACAACUAAUUAUUUCUGACACCUCGUAUGAGAGCUUCUAGCUCCUGAUUCUAACUUUAUUUAAUCUGAGGCUA